rnacentral:tRNA from 3 species
UCCCCGAUAGCUCAAUAGGCAGAGCGGGUGACUGUUAAUCACUAGGUUGGCGGUUCAAGUCCGUCUCGGGGAGCCA